GCAGAGGUGGACAUGGAGGGAUUCUUAUUCUGCAAAGAACAUGCAAGCCAGAAUAAGCCCCGAUCCCUUCUCUGGCCCUUAGCAGAUUCAGGACCUUAUUUAGUUCCCAUGAGGAACAGCAGCUGCAUCCCAACUGAGAGCACAGAGGAGAUAAAGGUCAAUAUGGCUUUGGGAGGGCCCCUUUUUCAGGAUUGCCCUACUUGCUCUACUGCAUGGCUGGCUCUUCAGGACCAUUUGUGGGCUGCCAGACACCUCCUCUGCCUGGGUGGCCUCUGGGAACACGACCACUGCCUCCAUGCACACCACUUGGACAAGCUGAAAUUUGAAGAGGCCCCUGAGCUCUGACAGCCAUGCUGUGGCUCCUACAUAACUUGGAAAAGUAUCCAAUACAUUUUACGCUGCCUGCCCAGUGCUGCCUCAUCUGUCUCUAAUCUUCUGUAGUGUUUCCCCUAAUAAAGGUUUGCAGUCCUAUCUGUUUGGGCGUCUGUUUUCUGGAGGACCAGAUGACCCCCCGGUGUACCAGGUAUGAUUCCUCAUACACUGUUCAAACCCAGGCAGAUAUUGCAGUGCUGGCUGCAGAAGCAGGGUUGCCCUUUGGGUAGUGUCGACUGGGAGGGCCCCAAGGGGGCUUUCUGGGGUGGGGAAAUAUCCCGUAUCAAGCCAUGAGUGGAGAUUGUGCUCAUUCAUUUUAGAAAUAGUCAUCGGGCACCUGAUGCCUGCCAGUCACAGGGGUUCCUUGUGAUAAGAUGGACAGGAAUGUAUCCCCAU
rnacentral:lncRNA from 1 species